GCAGACACAUUCCAGCCAAUCAGCAGCAGACCCUCCCUCCCAGACCCUCCCACCUCCUGGCCAGCUCACUAAGAAUGCAGCUUCACAAUGAAUGUAAAAUGGAUGCUGUCCAGGAGGUGGGAGGGUCUGGGAGGGAGGGUCUGCUGCUGAUUGGCUGGAAUGUGUCUG
rnacentral:miRNA from 1 species